AAAUACUGGCACCUUGGUCUUGGACUUCCAGCCUCCAGAACUGGUAAUGUGCUGACAUCAUAACAAGGUUGGAGGGAGGCCCAUCUCACAAGAAUGUGGAAACCCAAUCAUCAUGCUUAUGAACCACAAAAGGAUCUAGAUACUGAUGUUCCUAUACACUUAUUUCUUAUGUCGAAUAGUGCAAUUCAAAUUCUAUUCUUGAAGCUUAAAGAUAACAUUGGAGCUGGCCCAAACUAGUAAAAUAUAUGAUUGUGAAUGGAGUUUAUCAAAAUGUAGACACAGUAAAUAUCCUAAAGCUUUAAAUCUACUUCUGAAACAAUGACAAGCAGGCAUUUUGCCAGUGCUAAUUUGCUUUACUCUAUUGAUUCAAGCUUUAUUGGGCAUUCUAUUGUCUCUUCUAGGGAAGGCAUCAGUGGAAUACAGAACAGUGAAGGCUUAUUCAAGAUAAUGUUAUACUCAUGAAUCACGCCACCUAAUACCUGCACUGCUUAGACAUGCAGAACAUAAAGCGUCUUCUCAAGAUAUCUCAGUAAAAGAUAUCUCUUCUUAUAUACAAAAGUGGAACUUGUUUUGUGCAAUCACUUCUUGGUACAGUUACAAUAGAAAAUUCUCAGAUGUACUCCACUACUUUAAAUAGAUUCCUGCAUCAUUGAAAAAAAUUUUCCAAGUCAACAUAGUCUUAAAAACUAGUCAAUCUUUUCUUUAACAUCUUGAAUGAAUAAAAGCUCACUCCCCUUAUUACUACUUA
rnacentral:lncRNA from 1 species